AUGGUACCUUUGUAGCUUGAUUCAUCCACUUGAAGUGCCUUCUCAUAUGUUGCUUGAUCAAGAAAUAAUUGCAUGUUCUGAUGAUGUAUGUCUACAUGUUAGUUCCCCUCCUUAUUACCUACUAUUUCUACUGCAUGACUUGUUGAAGCUAUUUUAUUGCUGCUGCAAAUCUGUUUUCCUUCUACUUGGAGUGAUUCCCCAGAACUUUAUUGAUCAACAGGAACUUUCUCUUCCUUAUUCCCACCAAUCUCUGCAUAUUCUACAAUAUCUUUUUGCUUCCUCAGGACUUCUACCUUGCUGUUGUUGUUCUGCUAAAGUCUACAACUAUCCCUUAUCUCCUUACCUUUGUUCAAAUCUGUUGAUCCUUAUUGCUGAUAAAUUAUUUCAGCAUGCUCCUUUAUGAAUACAUUAUUGUUCUGUGGAACCUGUGGAUCUUCAACUGUAUCCUUACUAUCAUAUUUUGUAUUAUCAUGUUUUUUGCUAAUAUUAUCAAUUUUCAGCACUCCUUUCUCUGAAGCAUCCCCCUUCUCAGCCAUGCAUUCAUCUCUGGAAGUGUGACUAUCACUUUGAUGUUGUCCAACAUUCCCCUACUUCAUAUGAUUAAUACUACUUUCCUCCUCAACUUGUUGAAGAAUAUCAAAAGAAUUCUUGGGUUCCAUUUUGCAAGAAUCACUCUUCCAUUGACAUAUCUCCUUUGAACUGGAUGUAAGCUUCGACAUUCAACCUCGUCAUGUCCUUAUAGCUCAUAGGUAAUUUGGCUACCAAGUCUACUUGCACUUUCACCCUGGCGUCUUAUUUAUUGUAGCCAUAUCCAGCUGGCUAGGUUUCCCUACUGCUGCUGGUAAUGAAAACAAAGAUUCCUUCACAAAGAAGGUAUGAAAAAGAUCGGGGAAAGAGAUCCAUGUAAUCGCCUGCGUAGUCUCCACCUUUGGAUCAAAAUUUUUGACAUAAAUGAAAGGCCU